rnacentral:rRNA from 1 species
AGAGUUUGAUCCUGGCUCAGAUUGAACGCUGGCGGCAUGCCUAACACAUGCAAGUCGAACGGUAACAGGCCCUUCGGGGUGCUGACGAGUGGCGAACGGGUGAGUAAUACGUAGGAAUCUACCCAGUAGUGGGGGAUAACCCGGGGAAACUCGGGCUAAUACCGCAUACGCUCUACGGAGGAAAGCGGGGGACCGAAAGGCCUCGCGCUAUUGGAUGAGCCUACGUCGGAUUAGCUAGUUGGUGAGGUAACGGCUCACCAAGGCGACGAUCCGUAGCUGGUCUGAGAGGACGAUCAGCCACACUGGGACUGAGACACGGCCCAGACUCCUACGGGAGGCAGCAGUGGGGAAUAUUGGACAAUGGGCGAAAGCCUGAUCCAGCAAUGCCGCGUGUGUGAAGAAGGCCUGCGGGUUGUAAAGCACUUUCAGUGGGGAAGAAAAGCCUGGGGCUAAUACCUCCGGGCCUUGACGUUACCCACAGAAGAAGCACCGGCCAACUCCGUGCCAGCAGCCGCGGUAAUUC